CCCUUAGAUGUUCUGGGCCGCACGCGCGCUACACUGAUGCAUUCAACGAGCACCCGCUGGGCCGAGAGGUCCGGCUAAUCUUUGAACGUGCAUCGUGCUGGGGAUAGAUGAUUGCAAUUAUUCAUCUUCAACGAGGAAUUCCUAGUAAACGCAAGUCAUCAGCUUGCAUUGAUUACGUCCCCGCCCUUUGUACACACCGCCCGUCGCACCUACCGAUUGAAUGGUCCGGUGAAAUUCUCGGACGCGGACUUGCGAUGUUAAUUCGGAGCUUGACUGUGAAAGUUAAUUAAACCUUACCAUUUAGAGGAAGGUGAAGUCGUAACA
rnacentral:rRNA from 1 species